CAGUCGCCACGGUAAUACGUAGGGUGCAAGCGUUAAUCGGAAUACUGGGCGUAAAGCGUGCGUAGGCGGUGAGUUAAGUCUGCUGUGAAAUCCCCGGGCUCAACCUGGGAAUGGCAGUGGAUACUGGCUCGCUAGAGUGUGUCAGAGGAUGGUGGAAUUCCCGGUGUAGCGGUGAAAUGCGUAGAGAUCGGGAGGAACAUCAGUGGCGAAGGCGGCCAUCUGGGACAACACUGACGCUGAGGCACGAAAGCGUGGGGAGCAAACAGGAUUAGAUACCCCCGUAGUCCCUGUCUCUUAUACA
rnacentral:rRNA from 1 species